rnacentral:rRNA from 1 species
UACGUAGGGGGCGAGCGUUGUCCGAAGUUACUGGGCGUAAAGCGCGCGUAGGCGGCUUCUUAAGUCUGGGGUGAAAGGUUCAGCGCUCAACGUGAACAGUGCCUUGGAUACUGGGGAGCUUGAGUUCGGGAGGGGGCAGUGGAAUUCCGGGUGUAGCGGUGAAAUGCGUAGAUAUCCGGAGGAACACCGAUGGCGAAGGCAGCUGCCUGGCCUAGAACUGACGCUGAGGUGCGAAAGCGUGGGGAGCGAACGGG